rnacentral:rRNA from 1 species
UUUGGUAUCUUUUGUUUACCCAAGCAUGUUGUCACUCCUCUGCACAACAAACCCGGGAUGACCGUCUUCAGCAAGAUGCUCUUCGGUUCCAUGCACCUUAAGUCGUAUGACUGGGCUAGAAGUAACUUAGAGGGUGGAACUAAUGAGCUCACCACAUCAGAUGGGGCUCGUCUAGCAAAGAUAAACACAAACAAUGUUGUUGAUGCUUCAGCUGAGACCAUAGUUCUGUACCCCGAAAACAGAGGCAACCUGCACUGCUUCAUGGCGCUUACCCCUUGUGCUAUUCUCGACGUGAUGGGACCCCCUUACAACACCGCUGCUGGCAGGGACUGCACGUACUAUAGCGAGUCCCCGUUCUCAAAUACAGCUGGUGUGGUUGGUGCACGGUACUCCUGGCUCAUGGAGAUCCCCGACAACUACCGGAUGAAGGGCGUAAUGAUGCCGUGGCACUUCAUCGUCUAG